rnacentral:lncRNA from 1 species
GUGGAGGAUGAGCCGGAACUUGGGAUUGUAUUCACAUUCUUUGUCUCCAAUUUUAAUGAAUCUGGAACAUAAAGGCUCAUGUGAAGGUGUCCUGAUGACAUAGAACAGGAUGAGUACUGAAACCACAAGGCUAAAAUGAAGGGAGGCAUGAGGGAUGUCAAGGCCCAAGCCACUGAAGCCUGGUGGGUGCUGGCCAGACAUUCUCAGUGCCAUUCAAGUCCCUUCACGUGGUAACUUUCCCACAGGUUGAGUGGGCCCGUCAUGUGAAUGUUGGCUACUGAAAAGGUAUAAACAUUUUGAAAACAUUCUCUUUGCACCAACUGUUCCUUUAGUUAAAAUAACUUGAGUCAAGAGUCUUUGAAAAUGCAGUUCUUGUUAUAUUUUCUGGAAGAGACUGAAAAAUAUAAAAAUUAUCGG